rnacentral:sRNA from 1 species
AGGUAACUCUUCCGUCGCUAUCGUCGUGUCCAGGGAGUGUCUAAAGAAUACGAUUAUGGCGAGAGCGGGUGAAAGGUUGGCAUAUGUGGGGUGGAGGAGGCCCUGAGCGAUACGAAUGGCUUCCUUGGGUGGACGGAGACCUGCAAUUUCUCUGUCCCAAUACAGUUGGAAAGCUUGGCGAUUUUCGGGCCACAUGGAUAGCGGGACUUGAAGGGCAGUGGGAAAGAUGGAGAAUUGUUGGUAGACUUGAUCGCGCUCUGCUUCGGAGAAAGGGCGGACGAUAGCCUCGUACUUAUCCAUCAUGGUUACGUAGGUAACCGCAGCAAUCCAGAGCUGUAGCCGCGGGUCCAUGGCGUCAUAGCUCUUCUUGGUUUUAUUGUCGUUAACGUGUUUAUGUGCAGUUGUGACGAAGUUACGGAAAGCAAUCUUCUCUGCCUCAGUGCCGAAUGCAAUAACGUUGAUAUAUAUAGCUGUGUUAAGUGUCCGCUCGGCGUGGCGACUGCUGAACGUGCUGUGCCUUCCAGCCCCUUUUCCAACCCCUGGCUGAGCGAGUUGGAGCAACACAGCUUGUCUAGCUUGCGUUUCAUGGCACCUUCGAGGGUUGCCUCUGCGGAUAAUGACCCAGGUUGUUUCAUGCUGGAUAAGGGGGUUCCUCCGCGACGAGUCCUGGCUAUCAUGUAGGCAGCUUGGGCAAGACCAGCUAAAGUGAUAUGUUAGACAAACUGUAGCAUUUUUGAUGGGACAUUACGAACCUGCAACGAAUGGUGAGAGGAAGAGAAUCCCGAUGUAUCCCAUGACUGUGGACAUGCCGAUUGUGAGGAGAAGUUUGAGCACAUGGUGGGAGUUCCCCCGAAUGAUUUCGGCACAGACAGCAGCUUUUCGGCUAGUUAUACUCUGCUGAGGCCUAGGAUACGAAUGGGCUGAUAGCUCAACCUAACGGGAAAUGACGGUGUAACGAGUGCAGCCAUGGCUAAGCUGGUCGGAAGCAGUGGGCACCUGUGACACCGCGAUGUCGUCUUUUCAAACCCAACGAAUGGAUAUGUGCUUCAUUGUCACCAUCGGGGGCGGAACGGAUGGGCUGUGGAUGAGGAUGACGAAACGUUGAGCAACUGAGCCAUAUCCGGCUGCGAAUAUCAAAACGAUGUUAGAAUGCGAUAUGAAUGCAUUGAGAUAACAGGUUGAGGAAGUAGAGGAGGAAGGAAAAAACUUGAUAUGGUAGAG